CUGAAUCUUCUACAUGGGAUAUGGUCAAAAUCAUUUCUAAAACCCUAGACAAAACCCGAGCUUUUCCCCCAAAUUCCACACAAACGCAAUAACAAUGGCUUGGCGUGGUUCGCUUUCCAGAUCUCUCGUCUCCACGGCAAGGGCUUCCGCCUUCCGCUCUUCGCCAACCCGCCUCCUUCCUUCCCCGAUCGUCGCCCCUCGCCUCCGGCCCCGCCGCUUCUCCUUCUCCAACCCCAGGACAUUGGGGGAACUAGGAUGUGCGCAGUCAUUGCUUCCACUGAGUAGCAUGGCGGGAGUACAGCUGACUUCACAUUUGACUCUCAACGUUCGGGCUUUCUGUGAGCUGUCCCAUGGUACCUUCCACCGUUCUUGUCAAGAUCGCUAAUAGUUUCUUUGGAGGAUUGGAAAAGAUGGGUGAUUUCAGCAGCGGUUCCCAACAAUCAAAGGCUCCCUGGCACUACCUUGUAGGUACUUAAAUGUAUUUUGGGUCUUGCGCAGAAAGAGCUCAAAGAUCUGGGUCUUGUUCGAUAGGAAUGUCUUCCUGGAACUUUCCCUCAUUACAUAGGAAAAACAAAUAAAGAUAUGGCAUUCCCUCCUUUCCUCCUUUCCUUUGCAGACUGAAUUGCAUUUACUGGCUUAAUGUCUUGAAUUCUGUGACACUCAAAACUGCUGCAUUUUUUGCGCAUGCAUAUAUGCUUGACCUGUAUAUUGGAAUUUGAUUCUUUACGCUCUUUCAAAUUUUUCCAUCUACAACAUUGGUAAUACCAUUGUCAAAUUUGGGAUUCCUUUAA